GAAACAAGCCGAUUAUGUUCGCGUUAAUUAAGUGGUUGGAAGAUGUAAAAUUCUCAAUUCUGCCAACUGAACAUAUACGAGAUUUUAAUGAGGAUGAAUAAUUAGCCGGCAUGGAGGAAACGGACCUUUAUUUGGUGGAGUGGCGACAAGAAGCCAAAAGACGGGUGGCCGGUCUAUGAAGCCUCCAUCAUCAAGCUAGCAGAAAUCCCACCUCUCCUUCUGGCUACAGAGCACUUACCAAGCCCAUGAAAUCGAAUGCAGAUCUUCAUGAUGUGAGAUUUACAUAAAUAUGUCGAAGUCUCAACCUCAUGCUGCCCUCCCCCAUCCUCCUAAAUUUCAAUGGUGCGUGUUCUCCUAAUGGCCGCCUUCCCACUGGAGGUUUUGAUCCACAGCAAUUUAAAAGGAGGACAAAGCAAAACGGACAUCGGCGCAGAGUGAAGAACUGCCCUUCAUAAGGACACUAUGACAGCCAUAUAUAGUAAGUGAAGACUUUCUGUGUAUCUAAAAUUGCAUACAGCACAAGUAACUUACUUUGCAACCAUUAAAAUAGGUUGUAAAGUAAGUUACCAAUACAAAUAGGUGAUGAUGCAUUGUAGUGGUUGGUCUCAGACAAAGAAGGUCAACAGAUUUAUGAAUGCUGGAGGGUAAGGAGAGACGACCAAAAGGGGUGUUAGCAUUACUGUAAUGUGAACUGGAUAGACUUUCCAUCUAGG